rnacentral:rRNA from 1 species
GACGAACGCUGGCGGCGUGCUUAACACAUGCAAGUCGAACGGAAAGGCCCUGCUUUUGUGGGGUGCUCGAGUGGCGAACGGGUGAGUAACACGUGAGUAACCUGCCCUUGACUUUGGGAUAACUUCAGGAAACUGGGGCUAAUACCGGAUAGGAGCUCCUGCUGCAUGGUGGGGGUUGGAAAGUUUCGGCGGUUGGGGAUGGACUCGCGGCUUAUCAGCUUGUUGGUGGGGUAGUGGCUUACCAAGGCUUUGACGGGUAGCCGGCCUGAGAGGGUGACCGGCCACAUUGGGACUGAGAUACGGCCCAGACUCCUACGGGAGGCAGCAGUGGGGAAUAUUGCACAAUGGGCGGAAGCCUGAUGCAGCAACGCCGAGUGCGGGAUGACGGCCUUCGGGUUGUAAACCGCUUUCGCCUGUGGCGAAGCGUGAGUGACGGUAAUGGGUAAAGAAGCACCGGCUAACUACGUG